rnacentral:rRNA from 1 species
GUGCCAGCCGCCGCGGUAAUACGUAGGGGGCAAGCGUUAUCCGGAUUCAUUGGGCGUAAAGAGCGCGUAGGCGGCUUGGUAAGUCAGAUGUGAAAACCGGGGGCUCAACCCGCGGCCUGCAUCUGAAACUGUCAGGCUUGAGUCUGGUAGAGGAAAGUGGAAUUCCCAGUGUAGCGGUGAAAUGCGCAGAUAUUAGGAGGAACACCAGUGGCGAAGGCGGCUUCCUGGCCCGUUCUUGACGCUGAGGCGCGAAAGCCAGGGGAGCAAACGGGAUUAGAAACCCUAGUAGUCCAAU